rnacentral:rRNA from 1 species
GACAGAGGUGCCGAGCGUUAGGCGGAAUCACUGGGCUUAAAGCGUGUGUAGGCGGACCGUUAAGUACCUUGUGAAAAUCCCCCGGCUCAACCGGGGAACGGCUGGGUAUACUGGCGGUCUUGAGCCAUCCAGGGGCAGGUCGGAACAGACGGUGGAGCGGUGAAAUGCGUAGAUAUCGUCUGGAACGCCGAAGGUGAAAACAGACUGCUGGGGAUGCGCUGACGCUGAGACACGAAAGCCAGGGGAGCGAACGGGG